GAGAGAGAGAGAGAGAGAGGGUGCGAACUGAGAACAACUUUUCCCCAUUGUUCGGUUUGGUGUUGUCAAUAGUUCAUUUGAGAUACAGUGAUAGGCUAUGUUAUCAUUGAUGCAUUCCUGCAAUUAACAGAAGACCACUCUUUCUCUCCAUUUGCUCAUUUCAGGCCAGGAAACUACGCCAGUCUUUUUUGUCCUCCAGGAUGGACCAUGAGCGAAUGGGAGACCGGGGAAUGGGGGGCAUUCACCAUCGAUAUGAAGAGGAGGACCAGCAGAACAUCUACAUUGGUGUCCCGGUGCCUCGUGGGUACAGACGGAAGCGCCGGCGAAGACGUUCUGCAGGGGGCCAUGAGGCGGGGAACAUGGAGAGGGGGA